rnacentral:rRNA from 1 species
GCUAUCCCGAGUGCCGUCCGCUGAGGAUGGCUUUUACCCAGUCUAGAACGCUGGGGGAAUAAGGAGAGGGCAAGUCUGGUGUCAGCCGCCGCGGUAAUACCAGCUCUCCGAGUGGUGUGGAUGUUUAUUGGGCCUAAAGCAUCCGUAGCUGGCCAAGUAAGUCCCUUGUUAAACCCACCGAAUUAAUCGUUGGAUUGCGGGGGAUACUGCUCGGCUAGGGGACGAGAGAGGCAGACGGUAUUUUCGGGGUAGGGGUGAAAUCCUAUAAUCCCGGGAAGACCACCAGUGGCGAAGGCUGUCUGCUAGAACGCGCCCGACGGUGAGGGAUGAAAGCUGGGGGAGCGAACCGGAUUAGAUACCCGGGUAGUCCCAGCUGUAAACGAUGCAGGCUAGGUGUUUGGGCGGCCACGUGCCGCUCUAGUGCCGCAGGGAAGCUGUUAAGCCUGCCGCCUGGGGAGUACGGUCGCAAGAUUGAAACUUAAAGGAAUUGGCGGGGGAGCACCACAAGGGGUGAAGCUUGCGGUUUAAUUGGAGUCAACGCCGGAAUCUCACCGGAGCGACAGCAGUUUGAAGGCCAGAUGAGGUCUUGCCAGACGAGUGAGAGGAGGGCAU